rnacentral:rRNA from 1 species
CACACGUGCUACAAUGGACAGAACAAAGGGCAGCGAAACCGCGAGGUUAAGCCAAUCCCACAAAUCUGUUCUCAGUUCGGAUCGCAGUCUGCAACUCGACUGCGUGAAGCUGGAAUCGCUAGUAAUCGCGGAUCAGCAUGCCGCGGUGAAUACGUUCCCGGGCCUUGUACACACCGCCCGUCACACCACGAGAGUUUGUAACACCCGAAGUCGGUGAGGUAACCUUUUAGGAGCCAGCCGCCGAAGGUGGGACAGAUGAUUGGGGUGAAGUCGUAACAAGGUAGCCGUAUCGGAAGGUGCGGUUGA